rnacentral:rRNA from 1 species
GACGAACGCUGGCGGCGUGCCUAAUACAUGCAAGUAGAACGCUGAAGGAGGAGCUUGCUUCUCUGGAUGAGUUGCGAACGGGUGAGUAACGCGUAGGUAACCUGCCUGGUAGCGGGGGAUAACUAUUGGAAACGAUAGCUAAUACCGCAUAAUAGUAGAUGUUGCAUGACAUUUGCUUAAAAGGUGCAAUUGCAUCACUACCAGAUGGACCUGCGUUGUAUUAGCUAGUUGGUGGGGUAACGGCUCACCAAGGCGACGAUACAUAGCCGACCUGAGAGGGUGAUCGGCCACACUGGGACUGGGACACGGCCCAGACUCCUACGGGAGGCAGCAGUAGGGAAUCUUCGGCAAUGGACGGAAGUCUGACCGAGCAACGCCGCGUGAGUGAAGAAGGUUGUCGGAUCGUAAAGCUCUGUUGUAAGAGAAGAACGAGUGUGAGAGUGGAAAGUUCACACUGUGACGGUAUCUGACCAGAAAGGGACGGCUAACUACGUG